GACAAACUACGUAGGCCCAGGAUGCGACAUCCUGCCGAGUCCGCUUUCUCCGUUCUCCUUCACCUGUGUUUUGUUCCAGUGUGUGUGCAUUCUUUGAGCAGUUAUUUAGCAACCUUUUUCUAUUCUUUUGAGCGUGGAUCCCGUCGAGUACGACGGACGUGAGGGGUGUUAAUACCUUCCCCUUGCGUAACCGACUCCCGAUCCUAGAAAUCUCUGGUCGUAAGACCUUUC
rnacentral:lncRNA from 1 species